AUAGCUGUUCCCAUCCAGAGGCCUCCC
rnacentral:misc_RNA from 1 species